rnacentral:lncRNA from 1 species
UCUGACCAGUCCGAUCGGACGGUCCGGUCCGGUUCUGACAACCUUAGGAACUCUACACUUGUUUUUUCAAACAUGUUUAAUAAUCCUUUGGUAUGCUUACAAAGCUAUUAGCUGUAACCUGCGAUGUGUAAUUUGAUGGGUUAGAGUACCUUUUUGUACUUUCUUAAUACUAUAUUUUUCUUAUAUAAAAAACAAGCAUACUAUUAGCUGGUUCGGUGGAUGG